CUUUUAGGGAUGGUUUCUGCAGGUUUUUUUGUUUUUCUCCUGUCAUGCUUAUUUUGCUGAUUGAGGUUGGAGGUGUGUGGCCAGGUAGUCAGUGUCCUUGUUAGCUUGCUUCAGACUGCAGUACAGGCUUUGUACCUGUUUUGUUUGGUUUCCCUGAGACUGAUGUGCAGAUAUCUUAGUGAAAGGUUAAGUAGAUGUUGCAAAAGGAUGAAAGGGUGGAGGACUGUGCUUUUGUGUGCUUCUGAAGGUUCAUAAUAAGCAACAGCCCUGAGCUGGCAAUGGGCUUUGCCCAGGAAAAGCAGGUUGCUUGUGGAUACAAUAUUGUGCAACAGUUACCGAUUGAAGACUGGCUUCUCAGCCUCUGCAACGGCCUCACCCCAAGGGCUCCACCUCCAAGAUUACUCUCUGUGAGGCCAAUGUGAGAACCAGCCUUACCUUCUGCUAAGGUAACCCAUUCCUCUGCCCAAAUGAUGACACUGGAGAAAUGUGCUUCUGCCUGGAACUGACACUGACUAUUCAAGAUGGAUUAGAAGUUCUGUGUAAUGCUGUUUUCCUGUGGUGGCGAAGUGACUCGUGGAGAUUGCGCUCCAUGCAGGAAGGUGCUGGGAUGGAGCUGGUGCUGAUGGCUUGUCUAUGAAUCCUCGUAUUACAGUGGGGAUGGCUUUCCCUGUGUUUUCCCUAUUUAUACCCAAAGCUUCCAGUUCUUGGUAUGCAGUCCCGCUGGAGCUCCUCUCUGUGCUGAUACAGUCUCAAACCCAAUCGCUUUGGUCAUGGUCAAGAAAGCUCAGCUUUGCUGUGCUCGACUUUUGGCUCAGCCUCUUCCAGGUGGACCUGUCACACUGGCACAGAACAGAGGUACAAAUAAUUACAGCCCAGAAUAAUUACAGCUGUGGCACACUUGACUGAGCCAGUGACUUCUCACAUAUUUCUCUCAGUGGACGACAGGAACAAGGUAUAAUGGAUUAUUUGUCACUACAGUGGAAUUUUAAUAUACACAUGGGAAACGCUUUGCAUGACACUGUUCUCCAUAGGAAGUGCUUUGCUGUUUCUAACACAACUUUCUUCUGGUCUUCGUUUGCCAAAAUUACAAUUAUUGAUCUCCUUGGGAAGCACGAGCCCUCUAACAGUGAUUGCUCCCAAAUACAGCACUGAUACAGAAUCCAUGAACCUAACUGCGUUAUCACAGAGGUGACUGCAUAUCGUGAGGUUGGAGGAGGGCAGGGAGUGGCAUUAAGCACAUCAUCCAAUCAACCCCGAAGGUGUAGUUCGGUAUAAAUCAUUUUUUAAUCAACAGGAGGAUACGUUAAAGUCAUUUGCUUGUACUGUCUGUUUAUAUUGGGAAAAUGCAGUGAUAUUAAAACAGAGUUUAUGUCUCU
ensembl:lncRNA